GGAAUCCGUGAAACGUAUAUUCGAAAGACACCCAGACAUGGCAUUAGAGUUUCGAGUAAUGAACCAACAUAUGAGGACAUUAUGCAUAAAUCUCCUCCUCAACAUAAUCGAGACUUUGUGCCAGCCACUGAAAGACAUUUCCAUUCAUGAACUGGGCCAAGCAGAGAAAGCACUAAGAUACCUGAAAGAUUCGGACUUUAAGGUGGAUUGGUUAGAGCAUAAACUGGAGGAAGUAAAGGAAAAGAAGAUGGAAGAGCAGAUUGGUAAGACUCGGAUGCAAGAAUUAGAGGAAGACCUGAAGGUCUUCAAGCAGAAUUGCUCUGACAUAGAAGCUCAACUGGAGAAAGAAAAGCAAAAGUGCUCAGACAUAGAAGCUUUGCUGGAGAAAGAGAAGACAAAGGUAUUGGCCGCUGCCAGAGCUCCUCCUCUAACGUUGGAUGAUGUUGUCUGCUAGGUGUAUGUUGGUAUGAGUGUAGGUUUCAGAGUUAGCACAGGAAGCUAGAGAGACUUCUGUCGAUUGGAAGCUCAUAUAUUUUGUCAAAAACUAAUCUUUUUGUUAAGAGGACUCGCUAGGACUAGGAUUUUGUUAGUUGUCUUUCGUGACUAUGUAAACGGAUCAUCGCCGGGAAAGGUUAAGCUACUAAUUGUACUUUUUAAUGUUCAUUUAUAAUUGUACUUUGGUCUUAAACCGAGUUUAUUUUUGUGUGGUUAUUCAUCAAGGAAAAAAUAUUCCCCUCUGCAAAAAGGCUUUUUUAGGUUGACGAAAGUAUUUUUAAGCAGAGUUCAAGCAAAACUCUGAGGUUAAUUGAUUUACUAAUUAGGGUUAUGACUACCAAAUGUAUCUGGAACAGAUUUGGGUUGUGGGUUAUUACUACUUCUUUUCCUAAGCAACCAUCACUACAGGAAAUGUGGGUAUUAAUAGCGGCCGAAAGACGCAAUUAUUCAUCUACCAUAGCGUUUCCUUAAGCGCUCUGACAUCGCCCGUUAUAGAAAAUCGGACACUUUUGAUAGCGGUUUUUCGUUGUGCUAUAGUUAAUUGAACUAAGAUAGCGGUUAUGACACUGCUAUCAUUAAUAUUUAUAAUAACGUGUAAUAAUUGUUAUGAUUGGGUUGUACCUAUUUUCAUGAUUUGAUUUUUCUACAAUAUUUAUUUGAUUAAUUAUUUCAAUAAUUUAUAUUUUUAUAAUAUUUAUAUUUUUGUUAAUUAUUUUAAUUGUAUUUAAAUCAUCUUUACUGUGAUUUUUGGAUUAAAAUUACAUAUCAAAAAUAAAAAAUACAAUAUUUUAUUAUCAUUAUUACAUGAAAUAAUAUACAACUUCAUCUUCAAGCAUAGACUUAGCAGCUCUUACAAUCUCAUGUAAUUCACAAAACCUAACAGUCCCAUUGAGUAGUCUAUAACUCAAAUCAAUCCUAUAACACAAUACAUCUCGCCGCCUUGCUUCUUUUGCUGCCACAAGCUGCUUUUUCCAACACCUUCAUCAAUACACACACACACACAUUGAGUUAUACAAAGCUAAUUACAGAUAGAUCAGAACUUUGGCAUAAAGGAAGAAACUAUACCCAAGAAUUUGAGAAACUUUGCACAAGAGUAACAACAAAAACAUCCAUCAAGCUUCAUGAAAUUACCAAGACUCGUAACACCAACUUUGUUUUCUCUAAAAGCACAUUCCAAGUGACAAGAUAAGCCACAUAACUCAACAUCAUCUGAUUUCUCAGGCUCACAAACUAACCAAAGACUAGGGUCUUAGUUUUCAUCGAAAUUAUGACAAACACAACAAGAACAUCUCUUGCAAAAGGAAUCAUCUUUAUUCACAUUAGCUCUACAAGAUGCGUUCUUGCAGAUCCAUGAUGAUCUCAAACACACACCACCACCACUACCAUUGAUUAGAAAACUUUAAUCGAAGCCAGUUAAUACUGUUUCCAUCAAACUGAAGUCUAGUUAAAGGAUUCAAAAUCAUCUUGCUCAAGUAAUGAUUCAAAAUCGUACCUUUAGCCGGAGACAUGGCUCGGAAUGAUUCUUCCCAAUCGAAAUAUGUCAAAAUUGGAUAGAAACACAACAAAAGGCGAAGCUUGGAGGAAGAGUCUGAUUUGCAGAAACAGAGAGAAGAAGAAGCUAAUGGUUUCAUCAGCUCGGUAGAGGAUGCGAUUCUUGCAGUGAAGAAUCUCGCCUUUAGCCCAAAGAGAAGACCUAAUCUGAAUUAAUUUUCUUGUGAAUUUUGUCUCAGUCGAUGUCAGGAAAGGAUGAAAGGUUCAAGAGAAUCUCGCCUUUAGCCCCCAAAAAAAAAAAAAAAAAAAAAAAUCUCGCCAAAGCCUUUGUUGAGCGAUGAACGGAUGAGAUUACCUUAAACAUGCAGCCGCCAAAGCCUUUGAAAGGCUGAGAUGUCGCCACGUCAUGUAUCCGAGUGAAACAUUAUGAUUGGAUUGAGUAAAUUGAUCAAGUAUUAGAUCCGAUGAAUGGCUGAGAUCUCGCCACAUCAGCAAUCCGAGUGAAACAUUAUGAUUGGCUUAUUUUGUCUAUAGGCAUAAAAAUGUGUUUUUACUAUUUAUAUAAUUUUAAAAAAAUAUAUAUUGAUGAAUUAAUAUGUUUAUGAGUUAUUUACAUGAUUAGAUAAUUUUUUCGCAAUUUAAAAAAAAUAUUUUGCAGCGUUUUUAGAAAUGUGAAGGUAACACAUAUGAUUGCCUUAGAAUACAUGUACACUAAUCUUCUUAUUGUGUAAAUCAUAUUGUUGAAACACAUUAAUGAUGUUAUAAUUAAUAAAAUGAUAGAAUUCAUUUAUGUUAUAAUAGUAUACUUUAUAUCAUUAAUAUUAGCUACUAUUUAAAACAUUGAACCCUAAACCCUAAACCCUAAACCCUAAACCCUAAACCCUAAAAUAUUUUUAAAAAUGAAUUUUAUUUAUGUUAUUAUUUGUUAUAAUUAAUAUUAUUACUAUUUCAAACAAAUAUAAUCCAAAAACCUAAACAAUACAUUUCAUACCCUAAACCCUAAACUCUAUACCCUAAACUCUUUAAAAUUAUAACUUUGUUAUUAUUUUGUAAUUAUUAAUAUUAUAAUUAAAUAUUUAUGUCUUUUUGAGAUAUUUGGUUAUAUUUGUUUAUAUUUCCUUUUUUUAUUUAACUUUUCUUUUACAAAAUUCAAAAAUCAUUUUAAAAAUCUUUAAAAUCUUUAAAAUCAUUUAACUUGAAACCUAAAGUACAUACCUUAAAAUAAUUAAUUCAAUUUUUUCCAAUUAAAUUUUUUUCCAAAUAAUUAAUUAUAUUUUUGCCAAGAGAUAAUAUUAAUCCUAAAAGUUUUUUCUUUUGGCCAUUGACAUUGUCAUUUCUUACAAAACACGAAUAUGUUUACACAGGGUGUUACAAUACGAAGAAGCCAAUGGUAGCAAGAGAUAGAAAGAUUUUAGGAUACAAAGAGACAUAAAACACAUGAGAUGGAUGAUCAUUCCAGUUAAGAUGUUUUAAGUUUGUGUAUUUGUGUUUGCAUUCUCAUAUAUAUUUUUACCAAGAGAAAACAUAUAUAUGCCAUUAGUAACAUAAGAAAACAAAGUCAAGUGCAUGUAAUAAAAGAAAACACAAAGCGUUCGACACUUAAACUAAUUGUAAUAGCCAUCGUGGAUCUCUGAGAGACCUCGCAGUUCCUGCUGACUUUCUUUUUGAUAUCAGAGAAGAUCAUUCCCCACUUGGGUUUCCAUGUGAUAUGAGACAAUACUUCAACCUCUUGAAAACCAGUCCUGUAAGUAGCUUUAAUGGCUUCUAUAGCUCCUAAUGGAAGUCCAUCAAAGGACAUUGCUUCAGGUGGUGGAUUUGGUAACGAAACCACAAGCAACAAGAGGUUUGGAUUCUUCACUGUCACCUAUCAAACAAACUCAUAAAAUCAGAAAACUGAACAAGAGCAUAUGGAUCUUAUACAAAUCUUAAGAGUGAAAAAUUUCACCUGAACAUGGUAACAAACAUCAUCAAAUGCAAUCCACUGAUAAUUUAGCUCCACAGCUUUAUCAAGACUGAACAAAAAUAAUAAUGAAGACCUAAAACUCUACAAAAAGGAUUGAACUUUUCUUCCAUUCUACAAAAUCUACAGGAUGUGGUCGGAGUUAGCCUCAGGUGUGUCUUUUUCACUCGGCAGUACAACUUGCCAAAACUUGGCUAAAUACUAAUCCCAUUCCUCUACAAUCAUUGUUCCUUUGCUGCUUCCCGUAAAAACAUGAAAGUCUAUGUUAAUCGCACUAAUAAAAAAAACAGUCCAAAACAAAAAAUGCAGACUUUGCCAAAGAGAAGAACCUAAGAACACACUUAAACUGCAUCUACGAUAUAAAGCUUCCUAUGAGAUCAAAACAAAGUAUCAAUAUUUAACCACCUUGCACAUAUGAAACAAGCGAGUAUCUUUUUCUCCUACCCAAAUAAGAAACUAAAUUAUCAUGAAAAAUCUGGUCAUAAAAUAACUUUGAUAUACCUCCUCAUGUUCAUCAUCAAACCAAAUAAAGGUUGUGAUGAGCGGGCAAUCACAUCUCCACUUCCUGCAAUAAAGACAAAAAAAACAGCAACAUGUAAAUGUGGAAGCUAUACAAACGAAGUACAAAUGGAAGUACCACAACCGGUGUAUUUUUACCUGGAUGACACCACAAGAUCACAGGCAAGCGACAUCUUGCCAAAACAUGUAACUCAGUUAUUCUCAUGAGCGUAACUCAGUUGCAAGAAGUCAAGAACAGUCACAUAGAGAUCAAUUAGAUAUCAAUUAUUUACCAAAACAUUAAAAUUGAUAUAUCAAAAUGAAACUCCUAAACCUUCAACAGAAGUUUCACCAAGCUCUUCCUGCAAAAGAAAAAAUUCAUCGAUGUAAAUUAAAACUUUACAUGAGACAAAUACCCAAAACCCAAACACAAUGUCACCGUAAAUGUCAAAUUCGACUUACACGGAUGAAGAUCGAUGAAAAGUGACAAUGAAGGAUUGAGACAGAGAUCGAAGUACUAGACUGAGAUUAAGAAAAAACAAUAGAGACUGAAUCGAACGAGAUGCUGAAUUGAACGAGAAAUUGAUACAGAUUGAGACUACACAUAAGAGGAUCGAGAUUGACAUUCAGAGAACGAGACGAAGACAGAUUUGCUACGAUUGAAUAUGAACAUACCUGUUGGAGAUCGAGAGAAAUCGACUGAGAUUGAGUUGCAGAUUGUGAGAAUUCGAGUGAAAUCAAGUGAGAUGUGUUGUUGACUGUGAGAAAUCGAGAGAAAUCGAGAGAGAAGAAGUUUAUUUUGCCUUAAGAAAAAAAUGAAAAAGUGAUGUUUCUUGUUUUAAUUUAUUUUGCCUUAGCCAAAAUUUCACAUUUUUCCUUCUUAACAGAUUCAAUAGCGGGAAUUAAACUUUAGUAACCCGAAAAUUGGCCGCGUCAAUUUCAGCAUGUCCCGCUUAAAUCAUCUAUAGCGUUUACAAUUCAAAAAACGCUAUCUUUAAAUCACGAUCAAGUCAAACAUAGCAGAGACAUAAAAACCGCUAUCUUUUAGUGCUAUCAAUACCCACAUUUCCUGUAGUGCAUAAAACUUAUGUUAACAUAUAUUCUCUCUUUUACGACCUGGGAGUUUUUUGUUUUGUCGUACAGUUCGUUAAGGCUUUUGUGUCCGGACGAGUUCCGGCUUUGCCAUCUUGUUUAGCUGUUCGGUUUGUCUGGAUAUGUCAUGGCUUGUUCCACUGCCAUAUUUUCGUUUGUCUUUCAAUAAUCUCCACGAUCACGAGUUGGAGUCUCCUUCGCCCUAAGUGGAGUCUCCUUCGCCUUGUUUCUCUGGAUUAGCGGUGUACAAAAAACUCAAAGAUUGUUGCGGCUAAGGUUGAUGAAAAGAAGUCAUUGUUCCUUGGAAAAUUUGAAUUUCCUUUAAAUAUUUUAUGUUUGAAGCUAAGGGUUUGAUACUUUGAUUGUUUUAUGCUGUAUAGUUUUAAAGUUUAAAAAUCUCUACAGAAUUAGGAAUUUUUCUUAAAAAAUGAAAUUCAAAAUUAUGUAUAUUAUAAAAUAGUUUGAAAGUAUUGGCUUACAAUGACAUCGAAAUUAUCUAAUGAAUGAAAACAAAAGAGAGUUAAAAAGACAUAAAUAUCAAACAUAUACAACUAGUGUUAAGCCCGUGCUCUGCACGGGACCAAUAAAAUAUUGAUCAUAAUGUAAAAUUAUCAUUUUUAUUAGAAAUAAAACUAUAAAUAAAUAACUAAAUUGUUAAAAAAAAGAGAUGUAAAUUACUAAACAGAAAAUAUUAUCACAUCUAAUUUGAUUAUAGUAUUCUGCAAAGUGAAAAUUUGAUAGUAUUGAUAAACUUCAUCAAGGGAUUGUAGAGCAAAACAUGCAUCUUUAAACAUAGGAUACAAUAUACCAUCAAAUCUUCCUAAUCUGUUGACGUCACUGUCUCAACUGAUGCCGCGGUGACCUUGUCUUUACCUUUGUUCACGUAUUUGAAUAAAUCUUUGAUUGCUCUGGUUUGGUUAGUUCUUUUACGCUUGCUCCACGUUUUAGUGCUUCUGUUCCAAACAAACUGUUUAGGAAACUCCAUGUAACUCAGGUGCCGUGCUUCCGUGUUGUGUUGUUUCAUUCUCAUCCACUCCAAAAAUUUGGAAUCAUGUGUAUAAUCCACAUGCAUCUUCCAACUGAAUUGAUAAAAUCAGAAUUAACAUGUAUUAAAGAGAAAAAGAGUGAAUAAGUAAAUGUGACUAAAGUUAAAGCUUUAACCUGAAUAAACUUUAACAGUCAAUGGCAAUGACGACAACAAAAAAGAAUGAAGAACGGGAAUAGAUAGAUAGAUCUAGCAGAGAAGACGUUGGAUAGAAUUGGAGUUAAAUAAGAGAUAAAUCAGUUAUAAAUUGUCCCACAAUUUUUUAUUUUUUUUUGGUGAGGUAUUGUCCCACGAGUUUAGCUAGAAACGUUGUGGUGUUAGUGGCAAAAAAAUUAGGGAUAUAGAUAAUUUGCUACAGGUUUUUUAUUCCUAUUAAUUCCACAUGUUUUUAAAAAGGGUCUAAAUAUUACGAAGCCCAAAAUUUAUAAAAACUAAAUUGGGCUUUUUUUGUUGUUCCAUUGUUGUAAUUUGGAGUGGAAGUGGAGGAUGUGAGAUCGUGGGGAUAAGUGUAGAGUAGUUGUGAAGUAAAAUGUUUUUUUUUUGUUUUGUUUUUCUAUCGAUUUUUUUUUUCUGUGGAGUUUUAAAGUAAACGUGAAGAAUUGGAACUUAGGACAGAUGUCAUAUGGAGAGAGUUGCAGUUACUUGUAAAAUGACUUGUGAAUUACUCUCUCUGUUCCAAAUUAUAAGAUGCUUUUGUUAAAAGCACAAAGAUUAAGAAGUAAUAAAUGUUUAUUUAUUUAUAAAAAUUUAACCAUUAGAAAAAAGGAUAGCAGAAUUCAAAAGGUCAUAAAUAAACUAAAUAAACAUAAAUUAUGCAUAAAAAUCUGAAAAAAUCUUAUAUUGUGGAACAAGAAAAAAAGGCUUAAACAUCCUCUAAUUUGGAACAGAGGGAGUAUUGUGGAUGUCGGAUUCACACACUCAAGUAUUUUUAUUAAGUAGGAAAGAUUACUCUUGAGGGACAAAAAUGAAUAUGUAAAAACUUAUAAAUUGCUACGAAAAUUGCUAUAUUAUUUCUUUUCUUGAGAGAAAGAUCCCCCUUACAUGGCCAUUGACCUUUAUAUUUAUACAUAGAGAAACGACAUUUAAAGUGAAUAAUUAAGUACAAUUAUUCCCUCUUAAAUGUGUCCGUUUUGAUCUUUGACUUUAAUGCUAAACGUUCGAAUUCGAAUAGAUCAUGAUCUUCAUGGGCUUCGCCUUUUGGCCCAAAUGUUCUUAGGACCAACUUAACCAUGACUUCAUCUUCGGACUUGUGUCGAGGUGCAGUCACUUCGGACCCUCUUUAUGUUGACAACCACUCCGACUGUUCCUUUGGCUCACAGAUCCGACGGGCUUUAUCCUUUAUGGGUCUUCAUCUUGUCUACGUGGCAAUCUUUGGUUGGUCCCGGACUUCUGGUGCGGGAUCCGACACCAACAAGUAUUAGAUAAAGAUUUUUAGUAAAAAACACAGCCAUCAAAAUGAAAAGUUAAGAUAAAAAAAUUACGAUGUAAUUAAAAAUAAUUAUGGCGAAGAUACACGACUCUAAGUAUAAAAAUAUCAAACAACAAGUCAUAAAUAAUGGAGGCAAUCUUGCAGAAAAAUGCUUUUAACUAUUACAUAAAGAAGAUAUAUUUUACGAAAAGUUAGAAAUAUAAUAUAAAUAUAUUCAACCCUCAAUGAAAAUAUAUCAACGACAAUAAUAAUAAAAGACGCAACUUUCUAGAAAUAAAACUAUUAAAUAAUCAAGAAUGUUCUUCCGGGUUGGCUAUAUAAGAGCACCUCCAUUGAAGAGUUCUCAAAUUUGAGUAUCUACCAAAAGAAAUGAAAAAAAAAAUUGAAUAUAUAUCUCAAAAUGUUGAGAUACCCAUCUAAAAAUAUCUCAAAUGAGAUACUUUUGGAUGUGUAUCUCCACAUUUUGAGAUACUCAUCAAUUAAAAACUAUUUUUUUUUUACCUUUUUUUAGACAUCCAAAAUUUGAGAACCUCCCCAAUGGAAGUACUCUAAGCCUAUCAAUUGAUACAACAUUGUGGAGAAAAAUAUAUGAAAUAAUUAAAAAAAUAUAUAAAUAUAUAUUUUAUGAAGAGCUACGAUAAAUAGACACAAUCAUAGAACACAUAUUUAAAUUAUUUUAAAUUUUCCAUAUUUUUAUUAACUAAUUCAUAAAAAAUACUAGUUAAAUCAAAAAUUGUAUAUAUUUCUUUGAAUAAGAAAUAUGAUUUUUCGCUUUUUUCUUUAUUUUUGAUAAGGCUACAAAAAUAUUUCAUAAUGGACAAAAGUUGUAAUGUUUACAAUAGAAUUUAUUUACUACAAAAUAUUUUUUUAUCAUAAAGAGAAAAAAACUGGAUCGAAUCACAAAAAAGUUAUACAAGAUAAAGUUUGCUUAGGCACCUCUAUCUCAUCUAGAGGGUUUCAACCCUAGGGAGAUAAGGAUUAGUUACCGGGAAUAUUACCUUUUUUCGCCGGAUUUGGAGAAGAUUUUCUUGUUUUGCAUCGUAAUCUUUGGCAACUUUCUUUUUUUACUAAGAUUUUAACCUAGGUUUGGCUCAUCUCCGCCGCAGCCCAACUUCGUUAGCGACCCUCCGGUGCUUUUGAAGGAUCUGUGGUGAAGAAUUCAGGUAUCGUGACACUUACGGAUGGAGUUUGCGUUGGACAAAGCUUUACAAGAGAUGUCGCUUGAAGAUGAUAAACCGAUCGUCCUAAAGAAUCUGUCUAAAUACAGUUCAUGUGUGAGGAAUGAAUGCAGCAUCAUUGGGAAACUCCUUUGCCCGGAGAACCAAAAGAUGUCCAAGAUGAUUCAUGAGAUACCGCGACUAUGGAGAGUUAAUAACAGAGCAAGAGGAAUUGCUUUACCGAAUGAUAAGUUUCAGUUUAUUUUUGACUCGGAAUCGGAUCUCUUAACGAUUCUUGAAGCUGGAGCUUGGACCUUCAACGACUGGAGCAUGACGUUGGAGAGAUGGAUAGAAAACCCACCAGAAGACUUUCUGAAAAUAAUCCCGAUUUGGAUUAGGUUAAGGAAUAUCCCUGUGAAUUACAACACUGAAGAAACGAUAAGAGAAUUUGCUGAACAUGUUGGACAAGUCACAGAUGUUGCCUUUGACCCAUUGAAGCCGAGAAGCAGAGGAUAUGUUCGUGUUAGGGUUCUCUUUGACAUUAACAAACCUCUGAAGAACAGCAGGGAUUUGCAGCUGCCAACAGGGGAGAUCGCCUCUAUUGGCAUUGAGUAUGAAAGAAUCCGCAAAAGAUGCUAUCAGUGUUUGCGUCUCACCCACGACAAAGAACGUUGUCCUCUUAACCCUUCAAACCGGCAAGAAAUUGCUACGGGAAAGGUUAAAGCUGCGACAACUAUCCCAACACGUUUAAUUCCUAAGAUAAGCAAAGAUGAUCCUCUCUUUGGAGUUUUGACGGAUGAUGACGUUGGAAUUGACUUGGUAUCGGGGAAGCCAAAGAUUGCAAAGGAAGUUCUCGAUGAGAUGCGGCAGUACCUUUCAGUGGUGGACCCGCAGGAAAAGAAAAUCAGAAUAGAGAGGGUCCGGAAAUCAGUUUGGGAUCUUGAGAAUGAUCCGCAAGGCCAGAAGACUCUAUUAAGAUUGGAAGCCCCUGCAAGAUUCACAACAGACAUUGAUAAAGGAAAAGGAUUGGUCUUCGAUUUUGAGCAUUCAAGUCACUCUUCUGCUGCCAACAAGAGUGUACUAAAACCGACUACUACAGGGGAUGUACACGAACGCUCUGCCUCUAGUCUCUAUGCAACGGCCUCUGAUCAGUCUUGUGGUUCUACGGUGUUUCGGACUGGUUUUAUAGCUGGUCCAUCCGGAACCAAGACUAAAUCUACUAAAACCCGGAGACGACCUAAUCAGUGGAAGCGUAAAGCUCAAGCUCUGGAAAAAGGUAUUGGGAAACAAACUGAUAAAGAUGGAGAGAAGAGUGCAGCAAUAAUGGUGUACAAGAGGAAGGCUACCGAUGAAGACACUUCAUCAUCAAAACUCGCGAAGCGGGAUGCAGAAAAGGUGGUUCCGAAUGAGGAACCGCCGAAACAAGUAUGAGUUUUAUGAGUUGGAAUUGUCAAGGCUUGGGGGGCACCUUGACAAUUCCUACCUUGAAGGAAAUGCGGCGUGAGCAUUUUCCGGAUUUCUUGUUCCUCCUGGAGACUAAAAACUCCAGUGUUCACGUGAAGAAAGUUCAACAAUGGAUGGGUUAUGAUCAUUCACAUAUAGUUGAUCCCAUUGGCUUAAGUGGUGGCCUAGCACUUUUUUGGAAGACAGCAUACGACGUGGAAGUUCUUAGUUCGGAUCAUAGGAUCAUCGAUGUAAAAGUUAAACUUGGUUCUCAACAAUUCUUUAUCUCUUGUGUUUAUGGUGAUCCAGUUUCGAAUUUACGACAACUAGUUUGGGACAGACUCAUUGAUAUUGGAGUGUCUCGAGAUGAUCCAUGGUUAGUUUUGGGAGACUUGAAUGAAAUUUUAAAUAAUAAUGAGAAACUUGGUGGACCAGCACGGGCGGAGUCAACAUUUUUUCCUUUUCGGAAUAUGAUAAAUGAUUGUCGUCUACGGGAGGUCCCAUGUUUUGGAAACAAGUUCUCUUGGGCUGGAGAGCGUAAUGAUAUGUGGAUUCAAUGUUGUUUAGAUCGGGCGCUUGGCAACGCAGCUUGGUUUCAGUUAUUUCCAAGGGCUCAAGCAGAGUUUCUUGAACGUGUAGGAUCAGAUCACAGGCCGCUUCUUCUACGGUUUGUGAAUGAACAUGUCUCCAGGUCUGGUCGGUUUAUGUUUGAUAAGAGGUGGACCUCUAAACCGGAAAUCUUAAACAUUAUAAGAGAAGGCUGGAGUAAAGAAAGUAGUACAGGAACGACGGGAAUUCUUCAUCGUAUCUCCGAAUGUAGGAAACUCCUAUCGCGUUGGAAACGCAGCUCCAACCAGAACUCUAAGGAACGUAUUAAACAGUUAAGAAAUCAACUCGACAAUGAAGGCCUAAAACGUCAGCCUCAUUAUGGUUUGAUGCGUUCAUUGAGAUGGGAACUAGCGGAAGCGUAUAGAGAGGAGGAAUUGUAUUGGAAAUUACGCAGCAAGGAGAAAUGGUUGAGGGAUGGAGACCGGAACACCAAGUUUUUUCAUGGUAGUGUUCAAAAAAGAAGAGUUCAAAACCGUGUUCUAUCAUUAUUCGAUGAAAAUAACACGGAACAAUUCGCUGAAGGAUCGAAGGGUGAGAUUGCAGUUGAGUACUUUCGUAAAAUGUUCUCUAGCUCUAAUCCCUCUCUCAUAUCGGAAGCACUAGACGGCUUGUUACCACGAGUCACAGAGAGCAUGAACACGGAGUUAACUAAACCGGUGACAAGUGAAGAAAUUAAAAAGGCGGCUUUCAGCAUUCGUGGAGACAGCACUCCGGGUGCGGAUGGUAUGUCGGGUCAUUUUUAUCAAACCUAUUGGGACAUUGUUGGACCAAAAGUCGUUGAGGAGGUUCAACAAUUUUUUCAAACUGGUAUACUUCCAUCCGAAUGGAAUUUUACGCAGAUUUGCUUGAUCCCAAAGAAGGUAAAUCCAUCAAGAAUGACUGAUUUACGGCCUAUUAGUUUAUGCUCGGUGAUUUAUACGAUUGUUUCGAAGGUGCUUUGUGCCCGUCUAAAGGUUUAUUUACCUAGUUUAAUCUCGGCAACUCAAGGAGCCUUUGUUACCGGAAGACUUAUCUCCGACAAUAUACUUCUUGCCCACGAAAUGGUCCACGCUUUACGAACAAAUCCACUUUGUGAUGAGGACUUCAUAGCCAUCAAAACGGACAUGUCAAAGGCUUAUGAUAGAGUGGAAUGGAAUUUUUUGGAAGAGCUCCUUCUCCGGCUAGGCUUUAAUAUACGAUGGGUUCAAUGGAUAAUGAGCUGUGUUAGAUCGGUCUCGUAUUCAAUUCUCCUUAAUGGGUCGUCUUAUGGCUACAUUCAACCGGAGAGAGGUAUACGACAAGGCGACCCGCUCUCACCCUUUCUUUUCAUUUUAUGUGCUGAAGCUUUGGUCCAUAUAAUGAAUAAAUCUGAGCUGGAGGGCCGACUAACAGGUAUGAGAUUAACCCCGGCUUGUCCGUCGAUUCAACACUUACUUUUCGCGGACGAUAGCCUUUUCUUAUGUCAAGCAACAUUUCAAGAAUGUGCGGAAUUCAAACGCUGCCUCCUCUUGUAUGAAAAAGCCUCUGGUCAGAUGAUUAACUUUCAAAAGUCAGCCAUCACUUUUGGAAAGAAAUUAGAUCCUUAUAUGAAACGGCUUAUUAGUGAGUUCACGGGCAUUGAUCAAGAAGGCGGUCCCGGUAAGUACUUAGGCCUCCCGGAAUGUUUCAGUGGAUCGAAGAGUGCUUUGCUUGGGUACAUAAGUGAUAGAUUGAAGUCACGGUUAAGUGGAUGGUAUGAGAAAACACUAUCUCUGGGAGGAAAAGAAGUGCUUAUCAAAUCGGUAGCAUUGGCGUUACCGGUUUAUGCAAUGUCUUGCUUCCGCUUAACCAAAUACCAAUGCCAACAAAUCACAAGCGCUAUGUCCAGUUUUUGGUGGAAUGCAAGUGAGGAUAAGCACAAGAUGCAUUGGGUUUCAUGGGAAAAAAUUUGUAAGUCUAAGGCUAAGGGAGGUUUGGGCUUUAGAGAUAUAAGAAGAUUUAAUCAAGCUUUAUUAGCGAAACAAGCAUGGCGGCUCCUUGAUGACCCGCAGUCCUUGAUUUCAAGAGUCUACAAGGCCAAAUACUUUGCUACUAAGGAGUUCUUAGAGGCCAAGAUAGGUUACAGACCUUCAUAUGCGUGGAGAAGUAUCUUGUUUGGUAGAGAACUCCUUGAGAGAGGUCUCAUGAAGUCAAUUGGUGAUGGUGAAACGACUAGCAUAUGGGCAGAUAAAUGGAUCCUUGACACUUACCCUCGGCGUCCGAUUAAUAAGGAGCUUUUGAUGGAUUUGAAUCUUAAAGUUUCAUCUUUAAUCACACCACAGGGUGAAUGGAAUAUUCACCGAUUGUCAGAAUUAUUUCCAGCAGGUGAUGUCACACACAUUCGAUCCUUCCCGCCAGAGAUAAGUGUACCAGACCGGAGUAUUUGGGCUUACACAAAAGAUGGUAAGUACUCGGUCAAGAGUGGCAAUUGGGUUUUAACAAGGGAGACAGAGGCAAUGGACGUCUUAACCUUGGAUAUUCAGACCACAAACAAAACCAAAGAGAGACUAUGGAAGCUUGCAACAGCACCAAAGAUUAGGCUGUUCUUAUGGAGAGCCUUGUCGGGUGCCUUAGCAAUUGCUGAUUGUUUGAGAAAUCAUGGACUUAAUGUCUCUCCUUUGUGUCAACUAUGUGGUGGUGUUACAGAAACAGUUUCUCAUGUCCUUUUUGAGUGUUCUUUGGCGCAGAACGUGUGGACCAUUGUAGAUUUGCCUUUGUGGCCGCCUCUCUCAGGGAACUCCAUUGCAGCGAAAAUUGAUCACCUCUUGAACCUAAUGACGCAGCAAGAUUUGGACACAAAUCUGAGGGAGGCUAUCCCAUGGAUCCUUUGGGAGAUUUGGAAGGCCCGUAACUCCACAUUAUACGCUGCAAAAACCACUUCUCCUCAUUUUGUUGUUGCAACAGCUUUGGAAGAAGCCAAGGAGUGGUUACAACAGAACUUAGUAGCUCAGCAAGACCGUGGGUACAUUGAUCCUCACAUUGCGACGGGAGGACGAAGAUGGACCAAGCCAGCUCCGGGUAAGGUUAAAUGCAACAUACAUUCUUCUUGGCUCAAGGACUUUUAUCAUGUUGGUGGAGCAUGGAUCCUACGCAAUCACUUGGGAGAUGUCUUAUUUCAUGCUCGAGAUGCUUUCCUCCCCAUGGUUAACCGGAUUGCUGCGGAAUUACAUAUAAUUCUUUGGUGCAUCCGCAGUUUGAAAGAGUUGCGUAUAGAGUCUUGUGAAGUCUGGUCAGAUUGUGUAGCAGCUUUGGACGCAAUAGCUCGACCGGAGGAGUACCCUAAAUACCGUUCUCAGGUUAUCAAAAUUCAGCAAGUAAUACGGGUGAUGCGGGAGGUUAAUUUCCACCUCUCUUCACCGAAAGCCAAUUCUUUGGCCAAGGAGAUUGCUUGUAGUGUGACACGAGAAGGACGGUUUACUUCUUACUUAGCACGAGGAGGUCCGGCAUGGUUACAUAACCGGAUUGAAGAAGAACGAAGAGGUAGUUUUUAGUUUUGUCAUCGGCCUCUGUUUUGGUUCCUCUGUUUUUCGUUGUUGUUCUAUUUUUUCAUUCAUACAACUUUGUUCCUUUUUGCAAUAUUAUUCACGACGACAAAAAAAAAAAAAGAGAAAAAAACUGUAACCAAGGAUAACUUGGGCCAAAUUAGUAAAUAGGGCCGAAGUUCAUAACUCGUAAGUGAAAGAAGACAAGCGAAUUUGGUUGUGUGCCACUUGAGUUAUAGGGUUUCACGUGUCGUCUUCAGGCUCUGAUAGUUUGGUUGUGAGGAGUCGUCUUCAAUAUGGGAAAUGAGAAGUUCACUUGGGUGAUUAACAAUUUCUCAUCUUUGCAAUCUAAGUCAUUUUUAUCUGAUAAGUUCGUGAUCGGUGGCUGCAAAUGGUAAAAAGACAACUAUCUUGUUAUCGUCCAAAUUUAGGGUUUACAAGUAGCAUCAUCAUCCAUUGUUUUUUUUAUAUGGUUUGUUUUGUUUUUGUUUGCAGGUAUCUUGUGGCGUAUCCCAAUGGCAAACAUAAGAAUAAUUAUUUGUCUCUAUAUUUGGUGGUUGCUACUUUUAAAACUUUGCCUUGUGGAUGGAGUAGACACAUAAAAUGUUGCUUAACUGUUGAAAAUCAACUCUCCGACAACCUCUCACAACAGCGAGGUAAGUUCUAUGUUCGAUGUCUUAUAUUUAUGUGUGUUUGUGUUUGUUUUGACUUAGAUGAUCAGUUCUGUUUUUUUCGUGAUCUACAGAAGAAACACAGUGCUGGUUACAUCGAAAGAGAUUUUACCAAGGGUAUCCAGAAAUGAUUUCCCUUAGAAAACUUAAUGCCAAAGAAGGUGGAUUUGUUGUGAACAAUGAAGUCAAGAUUAUUGUGGAGGUUGACGUUCUUCAAGUUAUUGGCAAAUUAGAUGUUUCUGAGGGAUCUCAAGAGGUUACUCAACCUUUGAAAAUGAUGAGGCUAAAUGAUGAUGGUGCAGCGUCUAGUCAUUUGCAAACCAUGGAUGUCAAUGGGUUUCAAGUUCUUCCUUCACAGGUUAAAAGUUCAUGAAUGUUCAGUCUUUUUAUAGAAUGUCUUUGCCAUUCCAUCCGAUAGUGUUCCCUUAUAUAUGAAUCGAUUUGGUAAUUACUGAUAACUCUUGGUUUCAAAGUCAUAGACGUUAUCAUUUGGUUUUUGUUGUUGUUGUUGUUUUGUUGAUUUUGGGACAAGAGAUGGUUUAUUUUUGCUGUUUUGGAUUUAUCAGUAGAACACAUCUUAAUUCAGAGAAAAUGUAGGAAAUAACUGCAUUGGUAUCUUUAAGGUUAUGGAUAUGAGUUUAUAUUUUGUAAAGAACUAAUCUUGUUGUUAAGAGAAGAUUUUGUUAGUAGCCUCAUUCCUGACUAUGUAAACAAAUUAUUGCGGGUUAAGCUACUAGGUGUAUUUAUCAAUAUUCAGUAUUUAUCUAAUUUAUAGCUUAACAUCAUAAAUCUGUUACUAGGAUCGGACCCGCGGUCCACCGCUGGGAAUAUUAGUUUACAUACGUUGAGUUUAAUAUUGUGUGUUUUUAGUAUAGCGAAUCGUAUAGUAUACUUAUAAAUAUUCAUAAUAACAAAUUGUAGAAAAAAUGUUAAAUUGUUUAUAAAUAAACUCAUCGUAUUAAUUAUGAUUUACAAAAUAGAAUUUUGUGUUUUAGAAUUCUAAAAUUAGACGAUUCAUGGGAAUUAGAGCAGUCACUUUAGGUCAGAAACCGCGGAUCGAGCCCAAAUUAUCUCACUAUGGGGCAGAAUUGGGAAAAUAUAUUAAACCCGCAAAUAAGCGGACCACAUGGAUUAAUUCGCAGUGGGUCAUAGGUUUAAUGGGUUUUUAUCCGCGGGUUGGCGGAUCAGCCCGCAUGUUAGUAUUUAUUGAUAAAAUUAUAAUUUAUUCAACAUGUGGUAAUUUAAACAAACUUUUAAUAGUAUUUUUAUUUAUUUAUUUAUUUUAGUAGUAUUUUAAAUUUUGGUUACUUUAAAAUUAUUUAAACAAAAUCCAUAGACAAUCCCGCAAAUCUGCAUACAUUCGCGGGAUGGGUUUGUAUUUCAUAUAUGCUAUAUGCGGGUCGUGCGGACCGACUAACUACAAGUCAAAAUAUUUUUUGCCUUUUCGCAAAACGGAUUUAACGGGACGAAUCAAUUCGGUUUGACAGCUCUAAUGGGAAUAUUAUUUAGUUUGGACAUAGGAAUAAUAAAUUUUUUAGAAAUCUUUAGAAGCAAGUAAGAUAUCUUUCAAUUAAUGAUAAUUGGCUAAAAUGAAGGAAAUUAAUGACAAAAACGUUGAUUGCUAUGGAAUUAGUUCCAAAAAUAUAUGAACAAAUUUAUUAUACGUAAUUAAUGUAUAAUAUUGUUCGGAAUAUGCUUUUAUAAUUAGUUACCAUAAGUACAAUCAGAUUUUAUUUGAUUUCCAUAAAUAUUUGAUUUUAAUUCGAUUAUCAUUAUUAAUUCGAAUUUAUAUUCUAAAAAAAUUUCAAAGAUCCGAUUUCAGAAUUUCGGGUCAAUUUUCUGAUUCUAACCCGACCCAUUUUCAUUUGUACUUCUCUUUUAAUAGUAUAGAGAUUCAUUUGUACUUCUCUUUUAAUAGUAUAGAGAUAUAAAAAAACACAUUUUACCACGUAGAGAGUAACUCUUAAUUGUGCAGCAACCUAAUUUUAGUCAAGUUUUGUUUAAUAAGUGACACCAAUGACACAAGUUUAAACGUUUUCUAUUUUCUGCGAGGUUUUGUUUUCCUUUCCUCUGCAAUUUUCUAUUUCACUGCAGUUUUCUAUUUGGGAAAAUUGAAAAUUAAAGAUAAAUAAUUAAACUAUUGUCCAUCUAUGCAUUAUAUGACCAAAUAUCACAUAUUCCUAAUUUACCCUUUGUAAUUGAUUUAACCAAUCUUUCAAAUAAAAUUCAUAAGAAUUCGUAGGUAAAUGAUGAAGAAGUCAUGAGGAUACUUAUAACAUCGAAAAUAUGUCGUUUUAAUGCCGUUUUGGAUGAGAAAAAUAUGAUCUACGAAGUUUAGAACACAUCUUCUGAAUUUAGAAUGUGUAUUCUAUAUAUUGUACAUGUUCUAUAAAAUUUAGAUAAUGUAUUCUACUCUCUUUACAUGUUCUACAAAAUUUAGAACGCAUUUCUGUUCUACAGUAUUUAGAAUGCUAAUUUCUACGGUAUUUAGAAUACAUAUUCUAUACUCUGCUCUUUCUUUCUAACAUUUACUCAUGUUCUAAAAUAGUUAGAAAACAUAUUCUUAUUUUUUUCUAUAUAUUCUACAAAAAAAUAGAAAAUAAAUUCUAUGUAAUUUAGAAUAUCUUUUUUAAAAAGAAAAGAAAUCGUAAAAUAAGGAAAUCGAAUAUAGAAGUUAAUAUUAAGUAUGCAAAAUCGAAUAUAGAGGUUGUAUUCUAAUUAGUUUAGAAUUAUUUAUACAUAAGUAAAUAGAUUAUAUCUUUUUAUGUUAUGGCUAAACAUAUCGACAUUUAUUGCUGAAAAAAAACAGAACACAAAACACAUUAAUCAUGGCUGGAAAUUUAUGUUAAAAAAAAUAAUUGAAUUAAGGUUUAGUAACAAAAGAAGAUAAUGGAAGCAAGUCUAAUGAUAAAAGUGUUAUGGAGUUGUUUAUUUACACACACUAGAGAUAUUAACUUGUUAAUUUACAAACGGAGCUGUGUGUUAUGGAGUUGAGCGAUGAGAUUUUCCCGGAAAAAAAAAUCGAAGAAGAAGAUAUAAAAUUAUCUACGACAAAACAAUAAUGGAAAGUAAAUAAAUGUUGAUUGUGCUCUAUAUUUUCUCCAAAUUGAUUUUAGAAAGAAACCAAAUUAAUUUUGGAAAUUUUUUAUAGUUUAACAAGAUUUAAAAAAAUCUGGGGAUAUAAUAGAAUUUUAAUUAUAUUAAAGCAUAUAUCCUUUAUAUCUAAUUUUCCCCUUCUAUAUUUUGCUUGGAUUUUUACUUUUAUUUGAUUUAGGUUUUCCUAAUUACAUUAGGAAAUAUAUGCUAAGCUUUCUUAUAAAUAAUCCUCUAAUGCUAAUAAAGAGGAUUCAUCUAUCUUCGAAGUGCAUUCUUUACAAUUCUCAAACCGCUGUUUCUUCGGUGAAAAGACAGAGUCUCCUCCUUGUUUUCUCUAGUUUAUCUGGAACUUACUUGAGAAACAAGCUUCGUAUCGUGUCUCCGCUUCAUCAAAACCUCUGUUUCUUCGGUAAAAAGUAGAGUCCUGUUCUUGUUGUCUCUAGUUUCUCGGUAAACUUGAGAAACAAGCUCCAUUCGUGUACUUCCGCUCCAUCAUCUCCUUUAGAAAUGCCUCCUCGUUUAAAAAACAGUGCCAGGAAAUCAUGUGUACCUCAUCUUGAUAUUCGUCAAGUUAUCGCAGAUUACAUGUUUCUAAGGAAUCUCUAGAGGUAAACCAACCUCUGAAAAGGAUAAAGCUAAAUGGUGACUGUGGUGUGGUAACUUCAUUAGUAGAUGUCAAUGGGUUUCAAGUUCUUCCUUCACAGGUAACAAGUUCAUAGAGAUUCAAUCUUUUUAGAUAGGAACUGGUUUUGGGAAAACAAUUGUAUCUUUAAAGUCGAUACCAUUCAGUUUAUACUCUAAUUCAAUUCAUCCUUUUUAACAACUACAGGUGGAAUCUGUGAAGCGUAUAUUCGAAAGACAUCCAGACAUGGCAUUGGAGUUCCGAGGAAAGAACCAACAGUUGAGGACAUCAUGCAUAAAUGUCCUCCUCAACCUAAUCGAGACGUUGUGCCAGUCACUGCAAGACCUUUCCAUUGAUGACUUGGACCAAGCAGAGAAAGCGUUAACAUACCUGAAAGAUUCGGGCUUUAAAGUGGAUUGGUUGGAGCGUAAACUGGAGGAGGUAAAGGAAAAGAAGAUCGAGGACCUGUUUGAUAAGUAUCGGAUGCAAGAAUUAGAGAAAGACCUGAAGGUCUUUAAGAAGAAGUGCUCUGACAUAGAAGCUCUACUGGAGAAAGAGAAGCGAAAGUGCUCUGACACAGAAGCUUUGCUGGAGAACGAGAAGAAAAAGGUGUUGGCAGCUGCCAGAGCUCUUCCUCUAACGUUGGAUGAUGUUGUCUGAUGACUUAGGUUCUGCUAGGUGUUAUGUUCGUUUGAGUUUAGAUUUUUAAAAUCAGAGUCCUAACACAGGAAGCUAGAGAGUCUUCUGUUUAUUAUCUUUUUGUUAAGAGGACUCGCCAGGACUAGGAUUUUGGUAGUUGUCUCAUUCAUGACUAUGUAAUCAUAUUAUCACCGGCAAAGGUUAAGCUACGAUGAGUUGUUUUCAAUGUUAAGCAAGUAAAAAGCUUACCUUUGGUCUUAAACCGAGUUUAUUUUAUGAGUUUACAAUUCAUCAACCAAAACAACAAUCCUUGUAGCUUUUGGAAGCUGUAUUUAAGUUAUUUGUAAUUCUUCUCUUUUGUCCUAUGCGGAGAGUAGCUUCCUGCACAACUGUCAUUGUCUCGUAUCCAACAUCCUUGAUACAAACAUUAGCAAUCGUAAGUGCACACAUAACAUUUGUGGGUGGUUGGUUUCUUGAAAAACCUCUCUAAAUGGCAUUUACAAAAUUGGGCCAAGCCCAUAACACAUAAGUGAAGAAGACCAAGCGACGACACAAGCGUGAUUCAGCAUAACAGUGCCAGUGCCACUCAUGUUAUAAGGUUUUGCUGCUCCUCUUCACGCUUUGAUAGUUUAGUACCUUUUGGUUGCGAGGAGUCAUAUUCAAUGGGAAAUGAGUUCACUUGGAUGAUUAAGAACUUCUCAUCUAAUUUGCAAUCUGAGUUAAUUGAUUCUGAUGAAUUUGUGAUUGGUGGCUGCAAAUGGUAAUGAAGAAGACAACUUUGUUAUACCUCUAAUGUUGUUGUUUUUUCGUCUAGUUUAGUUUUACGAGAACAUCUCCAUUGUUUUCUAUGUUUUGUUUUGCUUGCAGGAUUCUUAUGGGAGAACAAAAUGAUAAUUAUUUUUCUCUGUUUCUGGUGGUUGCUGAUUUUCAAAAUUUGCCUUGUGGGUGGAGAAGACACGCAAGAUUUCGUCUAACUGUUGUAAAUCAAAUUUCCGAUAAACUCCCCUUGCAUCGAGGUCAGUUCUGUAAGGUUUUGGACAAAGGAAAGUUCGUGUGUUUGUCUUUGUUUUGAGUUACAUCAGUUUUGUCUACAGAAACAGAACGAUGGUUCGAUCAAAAAGUUCCUGUUCAUGGGUAUGCAGAAAUGAUUUCUCUUGCCAAACUAAAUGUCAGAAAAGGUGGAUUUCUUGUGAACAAUGAAGUCAAGAUUGUUGUUGAGGUUGAUGUUCUUCAAGUUACUGGCAAAUUAGAUGUUUCUGAGGAAUCUCUAGAGGAUACACAAACUUUGAAAAGGAUAAAGCUAAAAGGUUACGGUGUGGUGUCUAGUCAUUUGCAUAAGGAAACUUCAUCAGUCAAUGUCAAUGGGUUUCUUGUUCUUCCUUCUCAGGUAACAUGUUCAUAACGAUUCAAACUUUUACAGAUAUGAGUUUAUACUUUAUUCAUCCUUUUUUAUAACUUUAGGUGGAAUCUGUGAAACGUAUAUUCGAAAGACACCCAGACAUGGCGUUAGAGUUCCGAGCAAAGAACAAACAUAUGAGGACAUUAUCCAUCAACCUCCUCCUCAACAUAAUCGAGACUUUGUGCCAGUCAUUGCAAGACUUUUCCAUUGAUGACCUUUGCCAAGCAGAGAAAGCACUAAGAUACCUGAAAGAUUCGGACUUUAAGGUGGAUUGGUUAGAGCAUAAACUGGAGGAAGUAAAGGAAAAGAAGAUGGAAGAGCAGAUUGGUAAGACUCGGAUG
rnacentral:lncRNA from 1 species